UCGACAAUGAUCCUUCCGCAGG
rnacentral:siRNA from 1 species